GGGCGAUUAGUGUUAGUGGAAGCACGUCUGUUUUGCAAGCAGAUAGGAGGGGUUCGAGUCCCCUAUUGUCCAC
rnacentral:tRNA from 13 species